GCCAGGGCCGGUCCAAUGUGGGACGCCGAUUACUCCUGGGCGUUGGGCGCAGGCCAGCAGGGGGCGCUGUCAAGGCCUGUUCCACGUGGGUGGCUUCGCCCCUGGCCGUCAGUCAUUGAGGCGGCUCCGCCCCGUUCCCUUCCCGAAUGAGCCCUUUGCAAGACUAUUCAUUCACUGAGGGAGAGGAGCCCCGCCCAGGGAGCGCAUUACGGGCAGGCCCCACCCCCGCCCUGGAAAGAUGGCUGCGCCCUUGUGGGGUGUCUGGCUGUGCCUGGCCUUCGGCUGGGAGGCAGCGCAGGGCCCAGGGGUGGUGUGGAGCAAGAGCCCCUGCGGGAGGAGAAGGAGGAAAUCAUGCUGCAUGUGAGGCCCAAGUGGAGCCUGGUGGCUUGCAUGUCUAUGGAGCCCUCUUGCACCUGAACAAGACCUGAGGCCAGGCCUCUAGGCCCGCUGCCCCACCUGCACCUUUCCUGGAUUCCUCCCGCGACGCCCGGCAGCCCUCCGUGGCUGGAAGGAGCUCCUCAGAUGCACGGAGCUCCGGCAGGUCGAGCAGGCCUGCGCCCCUGCCAUGCACCUCCUUGGGGACCCUCUCAGCCGUGAAGACGGGGCAGGUAGGAGCCCGUCCCUGUCCCUAGCAUUUCGCCAGGUAUGUCUCCUGGGCCAACCUGGCAACUGAGGGGGGAAAUGGAGGGGCCUGAGGCUGGGUUGCUGCAGGUUUUUCAGCUGCCUGGCCAUGUUCCAGAAGCUGGAACAUUUGGGCCUACUCCUAGGAUUUAUAGUUUCCUAAGGCCCCUUCUUCACAGCCAUAGAAAACAGAUUAUCAAGGCAGAUAAUCCACAUUUUCUGCUUUGAACCGGAUUAUAUGCAUCCACACAGCCAUAUAAUCCAGUUCAGAGCAGAUAGUCUGGAUUUUAUAUGGCAGGGUAUGGGUUCUUCUACAUAACCAUAUAAUUGAGAUUAUGAAGGCAAAUAAUCCAGAUCAUAUGCGUUGAACCAGAUUAUAUGCAUCCACACAGCCAUAUAAUCCAGUUCAAAGCAGAUAGUCUAGAUUUUAUAUGGCAGGGUAUGGGUUCUUCUACAUAACCAUAUAAUUCAGAUUAUCAAGGCAGAUAAUCCACAUUAUCUGCCUUGAACUGGGUUAUCUGAGUCUACACUGCCAUAUAAUCCAGUUCAAAGCAGAUAACCUGCAUUUUAUAUGGCAAUACAGAAAGGGCCUAAGGGUAUAUUGUAGUGUAUAUUGUAGUGGUGUACUUCAGAGGGAUGCAUAUAUCUCACCAAAGGGCAGCUGUACUUUGGAAUUAAUGCAGUUUGACUCCAAUUUCGUUGCCAUGGCUCAAUGCUAUGAAACCCUGGGAAUUGUAGUUUUAUAAGGUCUUUAAACCUUCUCUGCAAAAUACUUUAGAUGCCUCACUGAACUAUAACUCCCAGGAUUCCAUAGCAUUGAGCCGUGGGCAGUGAAAGUGGAGUCAAACUAUGUUAAUUCCACAGUGCAGACACACCACAAUGCCUCACUUCUUCCAAUGGAGAAAUAAAGAUACAAGUGCCAGUUAAGUCCAGUGGAUUUCUUUAUUCAUACCAGGGGUCCCCAAACUUUUUAAACAGGGGGCCAGUUCACGAUCCUUCGGACCGUUGGAGGGCCAGACUAUAGUUGGCCACCAAGCAAUAAUAAAUAAAUAUAUAAAUAAAUAACAAUAACAAUAACAAUAACAAUAAAAAAGAGGGUUGGAAGACACCCUUUGGGCCAUUGAGUCCAAUCCCCUUCUGCUUUGUGCAUCAAAAGCACAAGCAAAGCACCCCUGACAGAUGACCACCCAGCAUCAAUGUUAAUAAUAAUAAUAAUAAUAAUAAGAAGAAGAAGAAGAAGAAGAAGGGGAAGAGGAAGAAGAAGAAGAAAGAGGGUUAGAAGAGACCCCUUGGGCCAUUUAGUCCAACCCCCUUCUGCCUCUGUGCACCAAAAGCACAAGCAAAGCAUCCCUGAUAGAUGGCCACCCAGCCUCAAUAAUAAUAAUAAUAAUAAUAAUAAUAAUAAUAAUAAUAAUAAUAAUAAUAAUAAAAUAAUAAUAAUAGGAUUGGAAGAGACCCCUUCGGCCAUUUAGUCCAACCCCCUUCUGCCUCUGUGCACCAAAAGCACAAGCAAAGCAUCCCUGAUAGAUGGCCACCCAGCCUCAAUAUUAAUAAUAAUAAUAAUAAUAAUAAUAAUAAUAAUAAUAAUAAUAAUAGGAUUGGAAGAGACCCCUUGGGCCAUUUAGUCCAACUACCUUCUGCCUCUGUGCACCAAAAGCACAAGCAAAGCAUCCCUGAUAGAUGGCCACCCAGCCUCAAUAUUAAUAAUAAUAAUAAUAAUAAUAAUAAUAAUAAUAAUAAUAAUAAUGAUUGUAAGAGAAGAAGAGACCCCUUGGGUUACUUAACCCAACCCCCUUCUGCCCUUGUGCCGUGGGGCUGGAUAAAUGGCUUCGAUGGGCUGCAUCCGGCCCCCGGGCCUUAGUUUGGGGACCCCUGAUUCAUACCAUAUGGAGAGGGGCAGAUUUCUCGCCCUUUUCAUGAUAUUGUUUAAACUUCCACUCUAUGUCUAAUUUUUGUUUUGUGUAAGGUAAAGGUAAAGGUUUCCCCUGACGUUAAGUCCAGUCAUGUCUGACUCUGGGAGUUGGUGCUCAUCUCCAUUAAGCCAAAGAGCCAGUGUUGUCCGUAGACACCUCCAAGGUCAUGUGGCCACUGGCAUGACUGCAUGGAGCGCUGUUACCUUCCCGCCGGAAGUGGUACCUAUUGAUCUACUCACAUUGGUAUGUUUUCAAACUGCUAGGUUGGCAAAAGCUGGAGCUAACAGCGGGUGCUCACUUUGCUCCCUGGAUUUGAAACUGGGACCUUUCGGUGUGCAAGUUCAGCAGCUCAGUGCUUUAACACACUUCGCUACCGGGACUCCUUUUUGUUUUGUGUACUUUAUGGAAAUAUGUUUCCAUAUGUAUAUUUUACGGAGUGUUUUUAAAUUAUUAUGUGUUCUAGCAAUGUUGUUAACCGUCUUGAGCGGGUAAGAAAUAAAAUUAUCAUUAUCAUUAUCA